rnacentral:rRNA from 1 species
AUUACCGCGGCUGCUGGCACGUAGUUAGCCGGGGCUUCUUAGUCAGGUACCGUCAUCUUCUUCCCUGCUGAUAGAGCUUUACAUGCCGAAGCACUUCUUCACUCACGCGGCGUCGCUGCAUCAGGGUUUCCCCCAUUGUGCAAUAUUCCCCACUGCUGCCUCCCGUAGG